ACUCCUACGGGAGGCAGCAGUGGGGAAUAUUGCACAAUGGGCGGAAGCCUGAUGCAGCGACGCCGCGUGAGGGAUGACGGCCUUCGGGUUGUAAACCUCUUUCAGCAGGGACCAAGCGUGAGUGAGUGUACCUGCAGAAGAAGCACCGGCUAACUACGUGCCAGCAGCCGCGGUAAUACGUAGGGUGCGAGCGUUGUCCGGAUUUAUUGGGCGUAAAGGGCUCGUAGGCGGCCUGUCGCGUCGGAAGUGAAAGCCCACUGCUUAACGGUGGUCUGCUUCCGGUAGGCAGGCUGGAGUAUGGCAGGGGAGACUGGAAUUCCUGGUGUAGCGGUGGAAUGCGCAGAUAUCAGGAGGAACACCGGUGGCGAAGGCGGGUCUCUGGGCCAUUACUGACGCUGAGGAGCGAAAGCGUGGGGAGCGAACAGGAUUAGAUACCCUGGUAGUCCACGCCGUAAACGUUGGGCGCUAGGUGUGGGGCUGUUUCCACGGUCUGUGCCGGAGCUAACGCAUUAAGCGCCCCGCCUGGGGAGUACGGCCGCAAGGCUAAAACUCAAAGGAAUUGACGGGGGCCCGCACAAGCGGCGGAGCAUGCGGCUUAAUUCGAUGCAACGCGAAGAACCUUACCAGGGCUUGACAUGCACGGUGCAGGCCUAGAGAUAGGCUGUCCUUUGGGGUCGUGCACAGGUGGUGCAUGGUUGUCGUCAGCUCGUGUCGUGAGAUGUUGGGUUAAGUCCCGCAACGAGCGCAACCCUCGUCCUGUAUUGCCAGCAAGGCCGGUUGGGGACUUGCGGGAGACUGCCGGGGUCAACUCGGA
rnacentral:rRNA from 1 species